UAGUGCACCACCACCACCAAACCGUUACUCCAACGCCCCACCACCAAGCCAUUACCACAAUACACCACCCUCACCACCAAUGGAGCAACCACCUCGAACUCCAUCAGGCCAUUACUAUAAUAAUCCACCACCACCACCACAAUCACCAAACCAUUACUACAACAUACCUUCGCCACCACCACCAACAAAGAAUAUAUCACCAAGUACCCAUUAUGCACCACCUCCUCCCCCAUCUGUUCAUUAUGUUCCCACGCCUAGUCAUUCAUCUCCUCCACCGCCGCCACCUCAAGUUCAGUAUUUUCCACCUCCUUAUCCGUCAAGAGGGCAGCAAGCAAGUCCACCUCCACCACCAUCUCAUGAGCAUACGGGGACUCAAUCUCCACCUCCACCAGCAGAGUAUCAUCCACCUCCCAAGGAGUCAUGUCAUCCUAUCCCUCCUCCACCCCCACCAGAAUGCACAACUCCCGUAUCAGCACCACCACCGCCAAGCCAACAUUCAACCCCAUCACCAUAUGCACCAGCACCUGGUCAUCACUAUUCAAAACCAUCCCCAC
rnacentral:lncRNA from 1 species